GACAGAGGGUGCAAACGUUGUUCGGAAUUACUGGGCGUAAAGCGCGUGUAGGCGGCUAAGUAAGUCGGGCGUGAAAUCCCACGGCUCAACCGUGGAAGUGCACUCGAAACUGCAUAGCUAGAGUCCUGGAGAGGAAGGUGGAAUGCUUGGUGUAGAGGUGAAAUUCGUAGAUAUCAAGCGGAACACCGGUGGCGAAGGCGGCCUUCUGGACAGUGACUGACGCUGAGACGCGAAAAGCGUGGGGGAGCAAACAGG
rnacentral:rRNA from 1 species